rnacentral:lncRNA from 1 species
AUCUUGCAAAAGAACGGAGAAUUAGAUGGAGAUCUCAACCACAGAAUACAAGCUGGAUGGAUGAAGUGGAAGAGUGCAUCCGGCGUGUUGUGUGACCGUCGUAUGCCACUGAAGCUCAAGGGAAAAUUUUAUAGGACGGCAAUAAGGCCGGCGAUGCUGUAUGGCACAGAAUGUUGGGCGGUGAAAUAUCAACACGUACACAAAAUGGGUGUAGCGGAGAUGAGGAUGCUUCGUUGGAUGUGUGGGCACACGAGAAAGGAUAAGAUUAGGAAUGAGGAUAUCCGGGGUAAAGUAGGAGUAGCCGAAAUUGAAGGAAAGAUGAGAGAAAAUCGGUUACGGUGGUUUGGACAUGUGCAAAGAAGGCCUACUGACGCUCCGAUUAGAAGAUGCGACUAUGGGACAGAGGUUCAGGGCCGAAGGGGUAGAGGAAGACCUAGGAAAACUUUGGAAGAGACUCUAAGAAAAGACUUAGAGUACUUGGAUCUAACAAAGGACAUGACUCAGGAUCGAGCACAAUGGCGUUCUAAGAUUCAUAUAGCCGAUCCCACUCAGUGACUUGGAUUUUCCAAGUCUCCAACCGAGAAGUUUUCCUCACUCGGGAAAUUAAGGGAACACUACCCCAACCUAUAUGCUCCACUCAGAAAGCUUCAACAUACAAGCUUCAACAAAAGAAAAUUAAAAGAACUUAGCGAAGAAGGCUUUGGUGUAUUUAACACAAUACGUUGAAAUGAAGGAAAGCUUAUUUAUUGAUAUCCCCGAUAAGCUACAAAUAUGUACAUAUACAUGAGUCAAAAUAAACACACAAGAGUGAGCCUUCACAAAGGUUGCUUAGGAGAAGUCUCAGCAGUCGGUAGAGCCCCAGAAAGAGAAGGCACCGGAGGGGGAUCAUUUGGAGCCUCAGUACUGGACAGAACCCUAGAAGGAGGAGGCAUCAGAGGUUGAUCAUUCGGAGCUUCAUUACGCGGUAUAGCCCCAGAAGACGAAGGCAAUAAAUGCCUUUGGAACAAACCCACAAAUCUCUGAUGAUCAAGUAAAACCUGACCAUCAGUUUCCUUCAUCUGGUCAAGCUUCCUCUUCAUAUUUGUAGCAUAGUCAUGUGCGAGCCGGUGCAACUGUUUAUUCUCAUGCUUGAGCCCUCUAAUCUCCUGUUUGAGACUCAUCACUUCAGCCGCCAAUGAUUCAACUUGGCGGGUUCGAGCAAAUAGGCGUUGGGCCAUAUUAGACACAGAACCUGCACACUGAACACUAAGAGCCAGCAAAUCCUUAACAGCUAACUCAUCAGUCCGUUUGGAAAGUAGUCUGUUAUCUUUGGGAGUGAGAAGGUUCCUGGCCACCACCUCAGCGGUCAUAUCAUUCUUCAUCACGGAAUCCCCAACGGUAAGAGGACCAGUAGGGGAGACGAAGGAUGGGCGCCAUAUGUUGUCUGGAGAAGGCGGGGCUGCCUCUUCAACAAGGUUCAAGUCAAAACGACGGUCGGAGGGGCCAGACAUUUUCAAAGGUGUUGAAGAGAGAAGAGGUCGAACAAAUCAAGAUCUUAGAAGUACAAGAAUGAAGCUUCUACUGGUGGAGAUUCAAGUGUGCUUUGGAACUUAAUGCCAGCCCCUAUAAAAAUCUGCACUCGACGGAGCUUCAGAAAUCGAAGAGGCGCCUGCUCAGAAAUCGAAGAGGCGUUUGCUUUCUCAAAAGCUGGGCUGCUUAGAGAUCACGAGGGUUGAUCUCAGAAAUCGAAGAGGCGUUUGCUUUCUCAAAAGUUGGGCUGCUCAAAGACCAUGAAGGCCGAUCUCAGAAAUCGAAGAGGUGCUCGCUUUCUCAAAAGCUGGGCUCCCCAGAGACCACGAGGGUCGAUCUCAGAAACCGAAGAGGCACCUACUUUUCCAGCCUUGUCAGCACCUGUCACACGCACACUCAGCUUUGCGGAAAUUAUGGGCAUUCUGUCGAAGACUUCUGGGGAAGUAGAAAACACAUGAAUCUUACUGUUCAAUCACCCACUUCCCACACGCAACAAUAGCUCAUGGGUACCACAGAUAACUUUGCCAAAGUUCUCUGCCAAAGUUGAGCACGUGAAGCUUGCAGCUCCCACUACAUCGCUCUGACCAAGAAGGGUAAAAGAAUAGCAAAGAAACAGCACUAACAAAGUUUAGACCCAUAAAUUUUGAAGGUCUAGCUACCAUAUUAUUACCCACAAGGGUAAAGGAACAGUACCACUGCUGGAUAAUUGGAAAGUCCCUGUGUGUCAACCUCUGUGCUUCGUGGCAAGGUAGACUAGCAAACAUGCCCAACCUUUACUCACAUUCGAGAAAACACUCCCAAUAAGAUUGCUUGCUCCAAAAUCGAAGAGGCACCGUCCCCCGAAUCUCGAGAGCCAGACUCCCAACAUGACUACUUUCUUAAAAAUCGAAGAGAGGGUAAAGGAACAGUACCAUUGCUGGAUAAUUGGAAAGUCCCUGUGUGUCAACCUCUGUGCUUCGUGGCAAGGUAGACUAGCAAACAUGCCCAACCUUUACUGACAUUCGAGAAAACACUCCCAACAAGAUUGCUUGCUCCAAAAUCGAAGAGGCACCGCCCUCCGAAUCUCAAGAGCCAGACUCCCAACAUGAUUACUUUCUCAAAAAUCGAAGACACCGCUCUCCGAAUCUCGAGAGUCAGACCGCCAGUAGGAUUGCUUUCUCAAAAAUCGAAGAGGCAUCGUUCUCCGAAUCUCGAGAGCCAGAUCCCCGACAGGAUUGCUUGUUCGAAAACCGAAGAGGCACCACUUUCCCAACUUCAAGAGCUGGAUCUCCUUGGAUAAAGUUUGUCUGUAAUCUUCACACGCAACAUCAGCUUUCCAGAUACCACAGACCACUUUUUCAAAGUGCUCUGACAGAGUUAAAACUUGUGAAGCUGGCAGCUCCCACUACCGUGCUAUGACCAAGCAGGGUAAAGGAAUAGCAUUAUUACUUGAUGUUAGGGAGACUCCUAUAUAUGUCGACCUCCAUCCCCAACGGACAUGCAGACCUGCAAAAAUGCUCAACCCUUCCUCUUAUCUGAGAGGGCACUCCCAACGAAGCCUUUCGAAAUAUUCAGCUUUCUUUCCCCCCGAUAAUACCUCUGUAAACAAGCUAUACUAGAGCAAGAAUAUCUCAUAUCAUCAGGGUUAAAAGCAAGAGUAUCCCAUAUCAUGCUUUUUCCCUGUCUUUUCCUUUGGUCUUGUUCUUACCUGCAAGACAAUGAGAAAGAGAGCAAUCAGUCAGCACUUGGAAUCAAGCUUCCAGCCAGGAACUGACUGCCUGGAACCCCUUACCUGAUUACUUACCUGGCAUUGCUCUCGAGUACUCAUCUUCAACAUCUUAUGCUUCCAGGGAAGAUCCCGCAUCUGCCUGAGGAACAGAUAGGGCAAGUGAGAAGGAUACAAGGAAGCAUGUGGAGACAAGCGUAACAGCACAUGUGCCGAUACAUCCAUUACUCUGUCAAAAGCAAAAGUAUCUCAUAUCAGCAGGGUCGAACGUACUCUAGAUUUGAUGGACUUGUUUUGACCCUCAAAUUCUUCAGUCGGCCUUAUCUCUGGAGGAAACCAGAAAACCCUCCAGCCCAGUUCAAGAAUAAGCAUGUGGAAAGUUACUUCUUCAAAAGCAAAAGUAUCCCAUAUCAUCUCUUCUCAUUUUUUUUUCUCUUUAUCCUUCAUGCUGCCUGCAAGAUAGGGAGAAUGUGAACAAUCAGCCGGAGCUCUGAUUGCUUACCUUGUCUGUCACCUCUUUCAGCAGAUCCCCUAGCUCGGCGACUUGGGGGACUCCUACUACAUGGUUUGUAUCGCGCUUAACCAAGCCUGAAACUACAAGUAAGCUUCAAGUGACAUUGAUACAUUACCUUGUGCAUCUCCACCAGUUACAGAUACCACCCCUGGAUGGAGGAAGAGUACUUCCAGAGAAGAUGCCAUAUCUACCUAUGAGACAGAUAAGGAAAGUCAAGACGAUACCACACUCCAGUACUUAGAAGUUUCGUGGUUACGAGAUCAUUCUCCCACAAUAUUUCCUAAUGUCAUUUGUACUAAAUCAUUCACUUGUACUCGCUAAAGGAGAGCUUGAACCUAUGUACUUGUGUAAACCCUUCACAAUUAAUGAGAACUCCUCUAUUCCGUGGACGUAGCCAAUCUGGGUGAACCACGUACAUCUUGUGAUUGCUUUCCUAUCUCUAUCCAUUUAUAUACUUAUCCACACUAAUGACCGGAGCAAUCUAGCGAAGAUCACAAAAAGUGACCGUUUUCGCUACCUAGGAUCUAUCUUGCAAGAGAACGGAGAAUUAGAUGGAGAUCUCAACCAUAGAAUACAAGCUGGAUGGAUGAAGUGUAAGAGUGCAUCCGGCGUGUUGUGUAACCGUCGUAGGCCACUGAAGCUCAAGGGAAAAUUUUAUAGGACGGCAAUAAGGCCAGCGAUGUUUUUAUGGCACAGAAUGUUGGGCGGUGAAGCAUCAACACGUACACAAAAUGGGUGUAGCGGAGAUGAGGAUGCUUCAUGGGAUGUAUGGGCACACGAGAAAGGAUAAGAUUGGGAAUGAGGAUAUCCGAGGUAAAGUAGGAGUAGCCAAAAUUGAAGGAAAUAUGAGAGAAAAUCGGUUCCGGUGGUUUGGACAUGUGCAAAGAAGGCCUACUGACGUUCCGGUUCAAAAAUGUGACUAUGGGACAGAGGUUCAGGGCCGAAGGGGUAGAGGAAGACCUAGGAAAACUUUGGAAGAGACCCUAAGAAAAGACUUGAGUACUUGGAUCUAACGG